CCUACGGGAGGCAGCAGUGAGGAAUAUUGGUCAAUGGGCGGAAGCCUGAACCAGCCAAGUAGCGUGCAGGAUGACGGCCCUACGGGUUGUAAACUGCUUUUAUACGGGAAUAACGCGCCUUACGUGUAGGGCUUUGCAUGUACCGUAUGAAUAAGGACCGGCUAAUUCCGUGCCAGCAGCCGCGGUAAUACGGAAGGUCCGGGCGUUAUCCGGAUUUAUUGGGUUUAAAGGGAGCGUAGACCGCUUGUCAAGCGUGCUGUGAAAUGUCGGGGCUCAACCGGGACAUUGCAGGGGAUACUGGCAGCCGGUAGUACAGUGGAGGCAGGAGGAAUGAGCGGUGUGUCGGUGAAAGGCUUAGAGGUGACGAAGAACGCUGAUUGCGAAGGCAG
rnacentral:rRNA from 1 species